rnacentral:tRNA from 1 species
GGAGAGGUGCUCAGAAUUGGUAAUGAAAUUCGCUGUAAACGAAUCCCGCGCUUUGCGCGGAUUACAGGUUCGAGUCCUGUCCUCUCCA